CGGGAAAAGCUCAAAUUUAAAAUCUGGUAGUCUUUGGCUGCCCGAGUUGUAAUUUGCAGAGGGCGCUUUGGCGUUGGCAGCGGUCCAAGUUCUUUGGAACAGGACGUCACAGAGGGUGAGAAUCCCGUACGUGGUCGCUAGACUUCGCCGUGUAAAGCCCCUUCGAC
rnacentral:rRNA from 1 species